rfam:Coniosporium apollinis CBS 100218 chromosome Tnknown supercont1.27, whole genome shotgun sequence.
GCCCGGCUGGCACAAUUGGUUAGCGCGUGAGACUUUUAAGGCAUAUAUGCCAAGGGAUCUCAAGGUUGAGAGUUCGAGCCUCUCGUCGGGCG